UUAAGUUCUCUGGCGUGUAGAGAAGCCCACCCUCAAUAAGGUUAGGGUCACUAACCGGUGGCUCAAACAUUUGGGAAAAAUGUGCAGAGAAUAGCUCACAGAUCUCAACAGGCGUAGAGGCAGUUCGAGAAUCAAGUACCAUUUCAUUAGGUUGCGAAGAGUACGAUUGGACCAGGGAGGAUUAGGAGGGGAACGAAAAAUAGGUGUACAUGAAAGGAGUGCAGAGGUUAACAAAGCAUUAAACGAUUGGACAGCCUCGUCGACCGAUGUACAUUGAUAAAAAAAGACCAGUCGGAACGAGAUAGAAUUGAAUUAAGUUUACGAUAGUCUGUGAGCCGAAAAUUAUAACGAACACUCAAUGAAUUAGGAGCAGAAGGUAAUACAUUCCUAACCCUACUAGCCCUAAAUAAAGAAGACGGUAACGCAAUUUCUAGGGCAGGAUGAUGGGCAUCCUGGGGCAGGAGCAGUGACGAAGCAGGAUACACAGAACAACAAGCUGCUGCAGCAGAGUUGGAGAGCACCAGGAACUGGAUGUAUUCGAAGAAAUAUGUGGCACAUAAUGUCUUAUAGCUGAAGAUGAAUCUGGCCUUACUACGGUAGAAAGCGACCACUCUAACGCAGGUUGGUUGAAGUCGCCCAGAAGGAUAAGAUGAUCAUUCGGUUUCAUUUGCAUGUAUGCAUCACUGAUGAAAGCAGAAAGGGAUUCCAAAUAGUUGCGGUCGCUGCUCAAAUACGGUGGCACAUAAACAAUCCCCACAUAAAGACGAAACUUAGAAAAAGAAACACGUAUACAUAAAGCUUCAAGCGUGGGUUGAUUAAUGUUAAGUGCCACAGAAGGAUAUCGAACGGAACAUGCAAGUAGCACACCACCCCCACGCGAACGUUCAUUGUUUAACCUGCUUCGAUCGCAGCGGUAUAUGUUGUAGGCAUCACUAUCAAGGACCAUGUUGGAUGGAAUCGAUUCAUUUAACCAGGUUUCAGUAAGGGCAAGCAUUUCAAACCCUGAUUCAUUCGCAGAAAGGCGCAAUUCAUUGUAUUUGGUGCGAAGGCCUCGAACAUUUUGGUAAUAUAUCACGAAUGGGUCUAUUAAUUGUGAGCUGUUCUGUUGCUGAGAUUGAAUUGUGAUUGAAGCCCCACCCCCGGUGAUAACUGAGGCGGUGUGGGAGGAAACUCCAGUUGAAUAGCCUCUAGGAUCUCGGUCAACUGGGAUGGUGAUAGAAUCCCGCGCUGUGGGGGUGGCGAUCGAUGUUCCAAAAAAUGAUCCGGAUGAGCGGUAGUUUUUGGCACAGCUGAAGAGCAAUUUUCACUAUUUGUACGAUGCGAAAUAAGCUCAGAAGGGUCAAAUCGAGCCCUUUCAUGUACACGUUGCUUUGGUAGGCCACGAGCAACAAACUCCCGAACAGUAAGUGAAACUGGCCAAAUAGUAGACUGCAGCGCAAGCUCCUUAAGAGAUUUAGGAACACUCACUUUGAACGAUAUGAAGGACAUCGAGUCCAGGUUCACACCCUUUUUCGUGAGACGGUAAACAUUAAUAUCGUCCGUUGGUAGCACAGCUUUAAGCCACACACGCAUAUCAUCAGCGGAGACAUGCGAUUUGAUGUUCGUGAAGUAUAACCAUACUUUCUCGGCUAUGCCCGUGUUGGUGGUGUUUUGGUUCAAAACAGGAUCAGAAGAUGCUUGUGUAUUUGUUCGGUAGUUUCCAGCACUAACAUCACUAGUCGGCUUAG